rnacentral:rRNA from 1 species
AGAGUUUGAUCCUGGCUCAGGACGAACGCUGGCGGCGUGCUUAACACAUGCAAGUCGAGCGAUGAAGCUUCUUCGGAAGUGGAUUAGCGGCGGACGGGUGAGUAACACGUGGGUAACCUACCUCAUAGAGGGGAAUAGCCUUUCGAAAGGAAGAUUAAUACCGCAUAAGAUUGUAAUGUCGCAUGACAUAGCAAUUAAAGGAGUAAUCCGCUAUGAGAUGGACCCGCGUCGCAUUAGCUAGUUGGUGAGGUAACGGCUCACCAAGGCGACGAUGCGUAGCCGACCUGAGAGGGUGAUCGGCCACAUUGGGACUGAGACACGGCCCAGACUCCUACGGGAGGCAGCAGUGGGGAAUAUUGCACAAUGGGGGAAACCCUGAUGCAGCAACGCCGCGUGAGUGAUGACGGCCUUCGGGUUGUAAAACUCUGUCUUUGGGGACGAUAAUGACGGUACCCAAGGAGGAAGCCACGGCUAACUACGUGCCAGCAGCCGCGGUAAUACGUAGGUGGCAAGCGUUGUCCGGAUUUACUGGGCGUAAAGGGAGC